rnacentral:rRNA from 1 species
CAGUCGCCGCGGUAACACGUAGGUGGCAAGCGUUGUCCGGAAUUAUUGGGCGUAAAGGGCUCGCAGGCGGUUUCUUAAGUCUGAUGUGAAAGCCCCCGGCUUAACCGGGGAGGGUCAUUGGAAACUGGGAGACUUAGAGUGCAGAAGAGGAGAGUGGAAUUCCAUGUGUAGCGGUGAAAUGCGUAGAUAUAUGGAGGAACACCAGUGGCGAAGGCGACUCUCUGGUCUGUAACUGACGCUGAGGCGCGAAGGCGUGGGUAGCAAACAGGAUUAGAUACCCCCGUAGUCCCUGUCUCUUAUA